AAUCCAUGUAUUGGACAUUUUCAAAUUGAAUCUUUGAAUCGUUUGCAAGCUUCAUAUAGUGUUUCAUCCUCCAUUUUCUGAAAAAAUGUAAUGUCAUUUCUAAGUUU
rfam:Gossypium raimondii Chr08_contig_312, whole genome shotgun sequence.